GAUGAACGCUGGCGGCGUGCCUAAUACAUGCAAGUCGAGCGAACAGAUGAGGAGCUUGCUCCUCUGACGUUAGCGGCGGACGGGUGAGUAACACGUGGAUAACCUACCUAUAAGUCUGGGAUAACUUCGGGAAACCGGAGCUAAUACCGGAUAAUAUAUUGAACCGCAUGGUUUAAUAGUGAAAGACGGUUUUGCUGUCACUUAUAGAUGGAUCCGCGCCGCUUUAGCUAGUUGGUAAGGUAACGGCUUACCAAGGCAAGGAUGCGUAGACGACGUGAGAGGGUGGUCGGCCACACUAGAGCUGAAACGCGGUCCAGACUCCUACGGGAGGCAGCAGUAGGGAAUCUUCCGCAAUGGGCGGAAGCCUGGCGGAGCAACGCCGCGUGGGUGAUAAAGGUCUUCGGAUCGUGAAACUCUGUUAUUAGGGAAGAACAAAUGUGUAAGUAACUAUGCACGUCUUGACGGUACCUAAUCAGAAAGCCACGGCUAACUACGUG
rnacentral:rRNA from 1 species